rnacentral:miRNA from 1 species
GAGGUGGGGAAAUUGCUUGAGGCCGGGAGGUUGAGGCUGAAUAAGCUGUGAUCACACCACUGCACUCCAGCCUGAGUGACAGAGCAAGACUCUGUCUCA